UUCUUUAGUAUGGUAUGCAAAUAUUGAACUCAGUUGAAAUCUGUUUUAUUAUAUAUAUGCUAUAUAAUGACUGAAUCUCAUUACACUGAAAUGAACCCAUACGAAAAAGAAAUUUAAUAAAAGGUCAAUAAAAGGCAAACAAAGGGCUAGCAAAAGGUACUUCUAUGUUUUGUUAAAACCUUUUAUAAGCCUUUAAUUUAACAAAAUACUAACAAAAGACUAAUAAGGAUUUUGUGAGUAAUACAUUUUGUUUACCUUUUGUUUCAGAUACUGCCUUUUAUUAAUGUUUCAUUACACUUAUAAUUUGAAAUUUACCUUUUAUUAGCAUUGGAUUGGACUUAUAUUCUUAAAUAUUGCCAUUUGUUUGUAUUUCAUUCCACUUAGAAUCAACACUUACAUAUUUUGUUUGUAUUUCAUUACACUUGCUUUCAAAAACAAGAAGUUUCGUUCAUAUUUCAAUACAUUUGUAGGUUUUGACGACUUGUUUCACAAAAUCUAGCAUAAACAAAUUAGUUUCAUAUUUCAUUGAUAUUGGCUAAAUACUGCUGCUGCUGUUUUGAAUUUAGAGCUACAUUUACCAUUCACUAUGUUCUUCAUAUACAUAAUUACACUUCUGACGAUUGCAAAGGUUUGUCAGUAAGUAAAUGGCUACUGAGCACUUGCAAAAUUAAUGCAUAAUAUUCUUUAUCAUACAUAAUCAGCUUUAAGAGAGACAAUCUAUAAACAGAGACCACUUGAAAUAAUAAUUAAAACUUCUCCUGAAAAAACAAUUCCAAUGUUUUUCUCAUUCCAUAGAAUUCCUUAGAAUUUUUUAAGAUAAUGCAAAGUUUUCCUAGUAAGAUUUUUUUUAUUUAAAUUGCAGCAAAGAUUACAUUGAAAAUCUUAAGAUUUGUUUGGAUUAUACUAGGUAUCCAAAUUAAUUGAAAUGAAACAAGGAAUCUAACUAAUUAAAAUUUAUGUCAAUGUUUUCAUUUUGUAUAUUAAAAGGAUGUUAAUUAGAAUUCUAUCAUUUUAUUUAUAAUUAAUAUAACAAGAGAUAUCAUUAAAAAUAGGUCCUAUUUAUAAAUUAUAUAAGCUAUUUAUUUUUUGGUUAUUAAACACCUCAAACAACAGCACCAGAUAAUAGGCAUUAAAAGUAAUUUCAUAAGUACAACAAAUUGUAAAUGAUAUUAUGCUUUUGAUAUAAUGUUACAUCCUCAUAAAUGAAUUAGUCUAUUCUUUUGAUGAUUGGCAAUGAUUAAUUAUCUUGCUUUUACAGCCACUUGAUAUACUGCUGUUCAAUGUAUACAGAUGUGUUAACACACAGAGAUACAGCGUAUCUGAUCAAGAUAAGGAUCAAUGAAAAUACAGGCUUCAGAACCGUUUUACACCUGUACACCAAUAAAUAAUCCCCAUCUUUCUGCUUGUUUUUUUCUCUCUGAGAUCUUUGCAAAUGCUGUGAGCAAAUAAAUGGUCAAAUUUUCUCAUGAACUGUAUACUUAUAUAUUUUAAGAACAUAGAUAUUCCCUUCAGUAACUAUAUAUUGUACCAAAGAAAAUGGCUUAUGAAUACAAAAAUUUGAAUGUAAACAGGAAGUUCGUUGUUCAUGUUGGAGGCAAGUGGAAUAAAGCUAACUUGAAACUCUAAAAUGCUUUUAGAGAGAUAUCAGAUGAAAGAGUGUGCAUAAAUCUAGUUAUUAGAGGUAUAUGCCUAUAUGUAUGAAUUGAUGUAGUUGGAGAAAUCAGAUCGCUUCAGUGCAUGACUAUGCUACAGGAUGAUAUAAGAUCACAGACAGAAAUUCGAUCAAGGAUCAAACAUAAAUUACAUAAUACUUCAACUAAAUUAAAUAAAUGGCUGGAAUGAAGUUCCUGACCCUGGUGAUGAUUUUGGAAAAGCAAAGAGACAUUCUGAUGCCACCUUGUAUUGAGCCUGCAAUACUCCAAAAUGAUUUUGUUGUAUUCAUAAUUUUCUAUCAAAUAAUCUUUUAGUUUAAUUUUCAAAUUUAAGCUAAGUGAAUUUUUAUUAUUCUUAACCACAAGUGUAAAAGCCGCUGGCAGAUGUGUUAUUCCCCUUUGGAUUUUAUUCUUUUUGUUUUUUAUGAAACCCAGAUCUGUCUCAACAUUAGAUUAAAAUAAUUUUGUAAUGAUACUGUUUCUUCUUUUUUUGUUUUGUGUCAAUAUCAGCAAUGUUUUCCAAUGGUUUUCCAUCAAACCUUUCCAAACUUCUGCAAAGAAUUCUUCUAAAAAUUCCUUCAACUUUAAUGCGAUGAAAAGAAGGUACGCUGCAUACAGUUUAUCUAUGUGAUAUGACUACGGUCAAACUUUGCUUAUGAAACAGAAAUAUUGAAAUACAUUGUAAUUACAAUUGUAUGUUUUGCUUGGCCUUCACU
rnacentral:lncRNA from 1 species